rnacentral:tRNA from 1 species
GGCUAGCUCAGAUGGUAGAGCAUGAGACUCUUAAUCUCAGGACUUGGGCCGAAGCCCACGUUUGCCA